rfam:Aspergillus aculeatus ATCC 16872 unplaced genomic scaffold ASPACscaffold_4, whole genome shotgun sequence.
GUCUUGGUGGCGCAAUUGGUUAGCGCGUACGACUGUUAAUCGUGAGGUUGAGAGUUCGAUCCUCUCCUAGGACG